rnacentral:rRNA from 1 species
GACGAACGCUGGCGGCGUGCUUAACACAUGCAAGUCGAACGGAAAGGCCCUGCUUUUGUGGGGUGCUCGAGUGGCGAACGGGUGAUUAACACGUGAGUAACCUGCCCUUGACUUUGGGAUAACUUCAGGAAACCGGGGCUAAUACCGGAUAGGAGCUCCUGCUGCAUGGUGGGGGUUGGAAAGUUUCGGCGGUUGGGGAUGGACUCGCGGCUUAUCAGCUUGUUGGUGGGGUAGUGGCUUACCAAGGCUUUGACGGGUAGCCGGCCUGAGAGGGUGACCGGCCACAUUGGGACUGAGAUACGGCCCAGACUCCUACGGGAGGCAGCAGUGGGGAAUAUUGCACAAUGGGCGGAAGCCUGAUGCAGCAACGCCGCGUGCGGGAUGACGGCCUUCAGGGUGUAAACCGCUUUCGCCUGUGACGAAGCGUGAGUGACGGUAAUGGGUAAAGAAGCACCGGCUAACUACGUG